AGGCGAUAUUGUAGUGUUUGUGCCAUACAUUACAGGUGUAUUCGUAUGCUCCCUCUACAGAAAGAAUAGAUUUUGCAAGCAAAUGACCUGUUUUCGAACAAAAACAAAAUGCUGUCAUCGUCUUUCCUCUUCCGAGCGAAUCCAGUUAGAAUGUAAUCCAAUAGGAAAAUGCGCCGGCUGUUUUGGCAUGAUCGCUUAUCAGCUUGAGAUUAAACAGUUUUCAAAAUCCACACAACCAGAAUCAAAAUUGGCAUCGUUUGUAUUGGUCAUCCGCUAACAUGGUAUGGUGCGCUCGGUACAGGGAGUCAUGCACACUCACAGGGUAUAUGAAGAUUCAAUAAAUAGGACACUAUCUGACACGAGAGCUUCUGCAAAAGGGGAAAGGGGGCGUAGGAACGAGUCUCUUAGUUAGUGAACGAUGACGUUAACACCAUUUAUAUAUAUACAGCUGUGUAAGUAUUGUAUUUGUGUCGAUCUGUUUGUAUGGCGCGGAACCUAAAACGUACCUCUAAAGCUUUUAAUUCUAGCCGGCGUUUUGUUGCGGUAGGCGCUUACUCGCACUGCUCGCUGGUAACGGAGUACAACUUAUUGGGCGCCAACAAACAAAACAAAACAAAAAUCCCUGAACCGGACAAUUACUACCUUUGGUAAGUAGGAUUAGCAUCUGCUAGCUUUCCGUUAGAGUCUGCCCUGUGAAAACUCUCCUCUAAUCGUUUCUGUUGCGCCCCUGUAAUCGCGGCGGGAUUGUAUUGGGAAGAGUUUGCUUACAAGAUAAAAGUGUGAAAGUAAUACUAUUCGCGUAAAGGAAAAAAAACAUGAAUUAUUAAAAUGAAUUACCAUGAAAUGCACUUUUGUUCAUUGUAUUGUCUAAUUGGCGGGAAAAUAUACGAAGAGAAAGAGAGACGGGAGAAGUAGAAUAAAAAAAACAAUCGAAACUACACAUGUCACGCGAAAAAGAGAGCGAGCGCUUAAUGCAAAAUGAAAGGACACUAAAAAACAAAAAGGG